CCUAGGACUUGUUCCUGGGCCACA
rnacentral:rRNA from 1 species